GGUAACGAACGCAACCCUCGUUGCCUGUUAUAUUUGUCAGGCGAGACUGCCCCCUCACGGGGGAGGAAGGUGAGGAUGACGCCAAGUCAGCAUGUCCCUUUGACAUCCCGGGCUGCACACACGCUACAAUGGCUAUUACAGAGGGGCGCAAAAGCGCAAGCUCAAGCAAAUCCCCAAAGAUAGCCCAAGUUCGGAUUGAGGUCUGCAACUCGACCUCAUGAAGUCGGAAUCGCUAGUAAUCGUGAAUCAGAACGUCACGGUGAAUACGUUCUCGAGCCUUGUACUCACCGCCCGUCAAUACAAGGGAGCUGGGAGUACCCUAAGCCCGUGUUUAUCACGGACUACGGUAAAUUCAGUGACAAGGUAUAAGUCGUAACAAGGUAACC
rnacentral:rRNA from 1 species